UUAUGUCGCAAUAUGCAGAAAUGAGCCUAGUGUACGAUCAAUUGACUCAAGAUCAACCAUAUGAAAAAUGGUUUGAAAUUGUAAAAAAUCACUGCAAAGAUGAAUCAAAUAUUUUAGAUAUUGGAUGCGGUACUGGUAGUUUAACAGUUCAAUUAGAAGCUUUAGGUAAUGUUACUGGUAUGGAUUUAAGUGUUGAUAUGUUGACUGUUGCAGCUCAAAAAUCAGCAAAUGUAAAUU
rnacentral:sRNA from 1 species